rnacentral:rRNA from 1 species
CGCUCUUUGUAUAAAUAAAGAGUAAUACCUGCCCGGUGAAUAAUUAAACGGCCGCAGUAUCCUGACUGUGCUAAGGUAGCAUAAUAAUUUGCCUUUUAAUUGGUGGCUUGUAUGAAUGGUUUGACGGAAAUAUAGCUGUCUCUAAUAUAUUGGUUAUAAUUUAUCUUUUAGGUUAAAAUUCCUAAAUUAAAUUAAGGGACGAGAAGACCCUAUUGAAUUUUAAAAAAAUGUAUAAAUAAAAUUAUAUUUUUAAGAUUGUUUAUUUACACAGAAUUUUGGUUGGGGCAACCUAGGAACAGAAAAAGCUUCUUUAUUACUGAUAAAAUUACUUUUUUUGAUCCAAUAAAUAUUGAUAAUGGGAAUUAAUUACCAUAGGGAUAACAGCGUAAUUUUUCUUGAGAGAUCUAAUCGAAAGAGAAGCUUGCGACCUCGAUGUUGGAUUAAGAUGUUUCUAAAGGUUGCAGGAGCU